rnacentral:rRNA from 1 species
CCCCCUUCCAGCCACCGCCACCCCCAACAGCGCGAGCUCGAUGCCCAUCUCGUGCUCUGGAUCUACGCCACCCUCGCCGACAACCUUGUUGAUCAUGUCGUCGGCGCCACCACCACCUAUGAUCUCUGGCAUCGCAUCCGGGAUUAUUUCCUCGCGAAUAGGGCGGCUCGGUACAUGAUGCUCAACACGCAGUACCGCAACCUCAAGCAGGGGGGCCUUUCCGUUGCCGAGUACGCCCGCCGCAUGAAGCUGAUCCUCGCCGGCCUCGCCGACAUCGACCACGCCGUCACCGAGGUGGAUCUCACCACCCGGUUUCUCCACGGCAUCGACAAACGCCUCGACACCAUCCGCGUCGUCCUCGGGGACACCGUUCCUCUGCCGCCGUUUGAAACGGUGUUCUCUCGC